GCCCGGCUAGCUCAGUCGGUAGAGCAUG
rnacentral:piRNA from 13 species